rnacentral:rRNA from 1 species
UGGCGGACGGGUGAGUAACGCGUGGGGAACCUGCCCUGUACCGGGGGAUAGCAGCCGGAAACGGCUGAUAAUACCGCAUAAGCGCACGAAUGUCGCAUGACAUGGUGUGAAAAACUCCGGUGGUAUAGGAUGGACCCGCGUCUGAUUAGCCGGUUGGUGGGGUAAAAGCCUACCAAAGCGAAGAUCAGUAGCCGAGUUGAGAGACUGACCGGCCACAUUGGGACUGAGACACGGCCCAGACUCCUACGGGAGGCAGCAGCA